rnacentral:rRNA from 1 species
GACGAACGCUGGCGGCGUGCCUAAUACAUGCAAGUCGAGCGAUGAAGAUUGGUGCUUGCACCAAUUUGAAGAGCAGCGAACGGGUGAGUAACGCGUGGGGAAUCUGCCUUUGAGCGGGGGACAACAUUUGGAAACGAAUGCUAAUACCGCAUAACAUCUUUAAACAUAAGUUUUAAGUUUGAAAGAUGCAAUUGCAUCACUCAAAGAUGAUCCCGCGUUGUAUUUGCUAGUUGGUGAGGUAAAGGCUCACCAAGGCGAUGAUACAUAGCCGACCUGAGAGGGUGGUCGGCCACAUUGGGACUGAGACACGGCCCAAGCUCCUACGGGGGGCAGCAGUAGGGGAUCUUCGGGAAUGGACGGAAGGCUGGCCGGGGAACGCCGCGUGAGUGAAGAAGGGUUUCGGAUCGUAAAACUCUGUUGGUAGAGAAGAACGUUGGUGGGAGUGAAAAGCUCAUCAAGUGACGGUAACUAACCAGAAAGGGACGGCUAACUACGUG